rnacentral:misc_RNA from 1 species
GAUGAAGAACGUAGCGAAAUGCGAUAAGUAAUGUGAAUUGCAGAAUUCAGUGAAUCAUCGAAUCUUUGAACGCACAUUGCGCCCAUUAGUAUUCUAGUGGGCAUGCCUGUUCGAGCGUCAUUAAUUCCACUUAAGCCCUGCUUAGUGUUGGGAAUCUACUCUAGUGGUGCUACCCUGGAGCUACCCCUGAAAGGGGGCUGGCCCGGUAGCUACCCUGUAGUUCCUCAAAGAUAGUGCGCGGAGUUGCGUGGUCCUCUGAGCUUAGUAACUAUACACCUAGCUUUUGAGUGUCCCGAGGCGCCUGCCGUUUAACCCCCAUCUUUUAAUGGUUGACCUCGGAUCAGGUAGGAAUACCCGCUGAACUUAAGCAUAUCAAUAAGCGGAGGA